ensembl:misc_RNA Y_RNA Y RNA
UGCCAGUCCAAGUGCAUUGGUAUUUACAACUAAUUGAUCAUAACCAGUUACAUAUUUAUUUGUUUCUUCUCCACUCCAACAGCUUCACUUGACUAGCCUCUA